ensembl:ncRNA ZK270.3 ncRNA
CUUUCAAUAUUUUCCGCUUUCGCUCUAUAAAAAAUCAGUAAACUUUUAAAAAAGACUCGAUUUCAAAAUUAAAAUUAUCAGAUUUUUCGAUUUUCUUUGAAAUACACAGAAGAUUUGAGAAAACUUUGCGAAAAAUGUAGAAAAACUAUUUUUCUUCGAGGAAUACACGAGCUGCGUAAAUCGACACGUGGCCGCGGGUUAGAGUUUUUUAUUAUAUUUUUA